rnacentral:rRNA from 1 species
CGGAAUCGCUAGUAAUCGCGGAUCAGCACUGCCGCGGUGAAUGUGUUCCUGAGCCUUGUACACACCGCCCGUCAAGCCACCAAAGCGGGGGGCAUCCGAAGUCGCCGGAGCCUAACGGCAGGCGCCGAAGAUGAAACCCGUGAUGGGGACUAAGUCGUAACAAGGUAACCGUAGGGGAACCUGCGGUUGGAUCACCUCCUUU